rnacentral:rRNA from 1 species
CCUUGAUGACGACUGGCGCACGGGUGAGUAACGCGUAUCCAACCUUCCCAUAACUACGGGAUAACCCGUUGAAAGACGGCCUAAUACCGUAUGAUAUCGUUUGCUGACAUCAAAUAACGAUUAAAGGUUUAGCGGUUAUGGAUGGGGAUGCGUCUGAUUAGCUUGUUGGCGGGGUAACGGCCCAUCAAGGCAACGAUCAGUAGGGGUUAUGAGAGGAAGGUCCCCCACAUUGGAACUGAGACACGGUCCAAACUCCUACGGGAGGCAGCAGAG